CAGGUACGUUACAUCACAGGUGCGUUACAUCACAGGUGCGUUACAUCACAGGUACGUUACAUCACAGGUACGUUACAUCACAGGUGCGUUACAUCACAGGUGCGUUACAUCACAGGUGCGUUACAUCACAGGUGCGUUACAUCACAGGUGUGUUACAUCACAGGUACUUCACACCACAGGUACUGUGACGCCGCUCUGUUAUAGACCGUGUUCUGUUAUAGAACUAAGUUCAGAGUUGAUCAGAAUCUCAACUUGAAUCCCAUGUGAUAAAAAAAAUCUAUUUUUCUUUACAAAACCAUCUUCAUCUUCUG